CGGUAAGUAGCGCAGCUUGGUAGAGCAACUGGUUUGGGACUAGUAGGUCAGAGGUUCAAAUCCUCUCUUACCGA
rnacentral:tRNA from 2 species